GAGUGUUGUCGGUCUUGAGCGGCCCGAUAUACUGUCAGUGUAGUAGCUGAUCUGAGAGAGGAAGAACAUCAGUUCAGUGAUUGCUUGGAUAUACUUAGGAGGCCGAACUCCUCUGACUUAUUGUUUAGACAUCGCAGUUGCAAGUUUAUCGUACAAGGGGAUAAUGCCGUGUCCAUUUUUGUCACGUCUACCUGGUCAAUUUCUUCGCAACUAUGGUGCUAGUCUAGUCCGCCAGUAUGGAGAGAUGUGUCCUGCUGUUUCUUGUUUCACGAGGAACUACAACUCGCUCCCCUCAGCCACCAACGCAGCAGAGGGGGAGAAGAAGUGCCCUUUUCCUGAACAACAAGAACUUGGUAAGAAAGCAACGUGAACCCAGGAA